AUAUGGAGACAGUAUUCAGCACCAAGGCCAGGUAUGUUUGCAUAUGUGUGGAUGGUGUUCAGCACCAAGGACAGGUAUGUUUGUAU
rnacentral:pre_miRNA from 1 species